CCGCCGCGCGCGGCGGGCUACGGGAGGCAGCAGUGGGGAAUAUUGCACAAUGGGCGCAAGCCUGAUGCAGCCAUGCCGCGUGUAUGAAGAAGGCCUUCGGGUUGUAAAGUACUUUCAGCGGGGAGGAAGGUGUUGUGGUUAAUAACCGCAGCAAUUGACGUUACCCGCAGAAGAAGCACCGGCUAACUCCGUGCCAGCAGCCGCGGUAAUA
rnacentral:rRNA from 1 species